GCUGGGCGUGGUGGCGGGCGCCUGUAAUCCCAGCUACUUGGGAGGCUGAGGCAGGAGAAUUGCUUGAACCCAGGAGGUAGAGGUUGCAGUGAGCCGAGAUUGUGCCACUGCACUCCAGCCUGGGUGACAGAGGGAGACUCCGUCUCAA
ensembl:misc_RNA Metazoa_SRP Metazoan signal recognition particle RNA